UAAUUGAAGAGUUUGAUCAUGGCUCAGAUUGAACGCUGGCGGCAGGCCUAACACAUGCAAGUCGGGCGGUAACAGGGGGAAGCUUGCUUCUCUGCUGACGAGCGGCGGACGGGUGAGUAAUGUAUGGGGAUCUGCCUGAUGGCGGGGGAUAACUACUGGAAACGGUAGCUAAUACCGCAUAAUGUCUUCGGACCAAAGCGGGGGACCU
rnacentral:rRNA from 1 species